AAGAACAGAGAAAACAUGAAUGGUAAGAAGAUUUGGUCUCGUAGAUCUUCUAUUUUGCCGGAAUUUGUUGGUUCCACUGUGCUCAUUUACAAUGGGAAAAGUCAUGUCCGGUGCAAGAUCACUGAAGGGAAGGUUGGCCAUAAAUUUGGAGAGUUUGCUUUUACACAGAGACGAAGGCCCCAUCGAACAAUAACAGGAAAGGGAAAUCAAGGAAAGGGCAGAAAGUAAAAGUAGAAAUGUGCAUGAAAGGUUGGCCAUAAAUUUGGAGAGUUUGCUUUUACACAGAGACGAAGGCCCCAUCGAACAAUAACAGGAAAGGGAAAUCAAGGAAAGGGCAGAAAGUAAAAGUAGAAAUGUGCAUGAAAGGUUGGCCAUAAAUUUGGAGAGUUUGCUUUUACACAGAGACGAAGGCCCCAUCGAACAAUAACAGGAAAGGGAAAUCAAGGAAAGGGCAGAAAGUAAAAGUAGAAAUGUGCAUGAAAGGUUGGCCAUAAAUUUGGAGAGUUUGCUUUUACACAGAGACGAAGGCCCCAUCGAACAAUAACAGGAAAGGGAAAUCAAGGAAAGGGCAGAAAGUAAAAGUAGAAAUGUGCAUGAAAGGUGAGGUUGUACGUACACCCUGCUCCUCCGUUCCUUGUUCCUACCAAAACACGAUGACACAUUCUUACUCUUAUGUGUUUUGCGUGCUAAAUCACUUCUACCAUUUUAGCAUUCGUGGUUCGAGCAAGCACCAAAAUCACAACAUUCUUGCACUAUGGUAACUGCAACUUUGGUUAGAAUUUCUAUGGGAGCAAAUUGUUUCGUUAAUGAUAUACAGUUGAAAUUCCUCGGGGUAUCAUGGCAUUAUGUUUGCUGGGUAUCGGUGGUUUUAGUUUUUUAUAUACAUGUAUAUUAGAGUGAUGUAUCAAGCAUCUUAUAAAUGAAUUAUGUCUGCACUCGGCCAACUUUUUAUUUUGAUUGAGGUAAAUUCCAUGGAAGCAUCUUGGGUCUGCUGCUUGUUCUUUAUAGUUCACACUUUGGAUGGUUCUGGAGCCAUAACAGACCAAAUUCAAUGGAUGGAUUUUUUUGGCUAAAGGCUAUUGUCGUCCUGAGUCCUGACGGUGCUGUUCCUUUUUAUAGUUCAAAUAGAUGUGAAUUUUAAAUGUUCAAUUAUAAUUUCCAAGCAGUGGAGAGGAGGAGCAUCACAGUGCACUUAUCACUCAGCGAGGCAUAGGAAUAGUAGUCUGGUGAGUUUACAUUAUGCAUCUGAUUCUUUUUUAUAUUCAGUUAUAACAUUUGAGAAUAUUAUGCAUGUGAUUCUUUUUUCUUGUGAUGAUUGGUAUGAUUGAAAUGUUUUAUUAGUAUGCACAAUUCAAACAAGUUUUGUGUGUUUAUACAAUCACAAUGGACAGUUGAUCAAUUGCUUAUACAAUAAUCAAUUAUUUCGUGGCUUCAUCCACCUCAUCGUUGGUUCUUCGUUGUUUACUAAUAAGGGCCUGGUUCAUAGAACA